rnacentral:rRNA from 1 species
UACGUAGGGUGCGAGCGUUAAUCGGAAUUACUGGGCGUAAAGCGUGCGCAGGCGGUUCGUUGUGUCGGUGGUGAAAUCCCCGGGCUUAACCUGGGAAUGGCCAUGGAAACUGGCGAACUGGAGUGCGGCAGAGGGGGGUGGAAUUCCGCGUGUAGCAGUGAAAUGCGUAGAGAUGCGGAGGAACACCGAUGGCGAAGGCAGCCCCCUGGGCUAGCACUGACGCUCAGGCACGAAAGCGUGGGGAGCGAACAGG